UAUUUGUUCUAUCAAUCCAUGAGCAUGAAAUGUGUUUCCAUUUCUUUGUGUCUUUUUCAGUUUCUUUCAUAAGCUUUCUAUAGUUUUCAGUGUACAUAUCUUCUACUUCUUUGAUUAGGUUUUUUCCUAGGUAUCUCAUGGUUUUUGGUGCACUUGUAAAUGGGAUCGAUUCCUUGAUUUCUCUUUCUUCUGGUUCAUUAUUGGUGAUCAAAAGAAAUACAGCA